GGCAUUUUUCAUUCUGCAGAAUUAUUAAAACAGUUCUACUAGAAUGCUUGCUUAUUCUAGCAACCUUGUGAGACAGAAAAGCUUUGUGAUUCCCAUUUACCAACACGGAGCUGAAGGAUGAAGCAUGGAAAGGAGUAGGCAAUGAGGCAAAAUUCACAGUUCCUGUGCAGCAGCAUCUGAAUGACUGAAGAGAUUUUAUAAAUGUUUUGUAACUGACUAAAUUACGAUAGUUACAGAAGUAACCAUAAUGGUCUCCGUAAAGCUUAGAUUAUGAAGCUGAUUCCUUCCUUAGGUUCUUCAAAAUCCUGUAUUCUGGUUGUAAGACUUGAUAUUGGUAUUAACUGAGAGAAAGGCUGUUCCUGAGACCUGCUGCUACUGCAAGUAGAACCCUGAGUCAUCAGAAACACCUUUGAACUGAGAUGUUCCCACAGACGAAUAGUGCUUUCCUGCAUGGAAACUGCUUGCUAUGUAUUUAGUGACAAGAUACCGUUUAGACAUCUGAUCUGUGUGACCAAUGGCCUAGCUGCUGCUACAGUCCUAUAACCAGUACUGGUUUACCUCAUCAAACUGCUGCUCCUUUGUUUUCAUCUGCUUGCCUGUGGCAUCCAUGUGAAGCUGGACCAUGGUGUUCUCCUUUGGCUUAGGCUGCAUCAUUUUGGUCUCUUCCCUAUCAUUGUGGCUGCAUCUGCUGGCUAAGUAUCUUCUCUUCUGUUGUUCUGCCAUCUGGAACAAGCUUAUUUUGUCUCUUGUUGAC